rnacentral:misc_RNA from 1 species
CCUCCACUCUUUCAUUGGCUUCCCAUCAAUUUUAACAAAUAUGUUUGUCCAGUUAGUGUGAUGGAACUCUACUCUGUCCAACCCAUUCACCAGUCCGCUCCCUAUAGCCUUGACAUAUGCCUCUUUGAGACACCAAUAUCUGUAAAACUCAACCAAAAUUUCAUCAGAGGUGCCAGAAUUAAUUAUAUUAUCCCAUUCCAACCUAGAAAAAUAAGAAGUAAAAUUGUGAAUGAAUUCUGGAACUGUCUCUUUCCGGGGUUUGACACAGCAAACAAUGUCCAACCCAACAAUGCAAACAGGUUCAGAUGCUAUUGCCACAAAGUCGCCAUGAUGAGAAACAUUGAAAUUAAAAUUGGGAAAUUUUGAGUAGCCUUUAGCACAUUCCAAAUAGGGUUUCCCUUCCAAUGUGCGCUUUAUAACAAUUUCAUCAUAUGGAAUUCCCAAUACUUGAUGUACAAGAGCAUACUGAAGCAACCGGCUCACAAGUGCCCGUUUUCUGUCCUCCAUCUUCACAAAUCUGAUGACGGAGGAGUGUUCGUGUUGAGGAAGAAGGGAGAGGGCAAAAGAGAAGUCAUGGGGAGAUGGCUCCCACUUUGAUAUGUCCACUAUCCAUCUUUGUACUCCUCUCUCCAUUACUAUUUGUAAUCUUCAUAAGAGUUUGGAUUAGUUCACUCGCAUAUUCAUAGCUUGCCUCCUGCUGCAACACAGUAACAGAUUAAUGACAGAACGAAAGGACGGCAAAUUC